rnacentral:rRNA from 1 species
UACAAUGGAAUAUUACGUUUUUGAAGCUAAGCUUACCCACUGAAGCUAAGCAGGGCUGAGCCUGGUCAGUACCUGGAUGGGAGACCUCCUGGGAAAACUAGGUUGCUGCUGGAA